UACUGUGUAUGGUAGGAUUGUUAAGAUGAAUUAAAACACUUGUAACUCUGCUUUUAGCUUACAUUUCCUCCUUCUUGAAGCCCCUUCUGCUGGAGAUUAGGUUAAAGUUUCUUGUUUGUUAGCUUCUGCCAUAGGUACGUAACUCAGAAUAUUGUGCUUGAAAGGGGAGGUAAGUGCUUUGUAAGUGGCUUCUUUAAAUAUGCUCUUGAGAUGGAGGAAAAAAAAGUGUUGCUAUUUAAAGGCCAGACUAACACAAUCACUUCGAAUGCUUCAUUGUAAAAGAAGAGAUUUUGUCUUUUUAAAAUAGGUCCCUCUGCACAUUGAAACUUGGAUUUCUAUUAGUUGGAUCUUCAACUACGUGUUUCUUACUCCAUAUAUUUUGUCCAAAACAGAACAAAGCUCAUGCCUACGUUUUUAAAUGCAGUUGGGGACCAUUAUUUUGCUUUUGCCUUUUUCUUAGAACGUGUUCUCCAGGGUUGUUCAGGUUACUUGCUUAACCACCUCUGAGGAGAAAAGAGGUCUGUUCUAAACAAAAGACUGAACUUAUGAGAAGAUGAUACUUCUCUCUCUCUCACAAUGACAACAUAGAGGUUAAAAUGAUCAGUUAAAAACCUUUUGCUUUGGAAAAGGAACUUCUAUGCAAGCAUUUUCCACGUCUUCAUGGGUGGAUCAUCCAACAUAUCUUGUUCUCCCUCAGACACCAAAUUAAUUUCAAGAACUGGGGUUUUUAACAAAGGUGUGCUCCCAUGGAAUGAGGUGGAUGAUACUAGCCUUUGUAAGAGUGUUUUCUGAGUAGAAUUGUCGACCCAAGAAAAUCAAAAGCUACCUUUCAAAAGAGCCUGAUGCGGUGUUCACUUACUACUAGAAGCUGUCCCAUAUGCACAGCAUGCUGUAUCUGGAUGAGAAGAUUUUUUUUUAGGAAAACACAGUAAAAUGUCAAUGGAUCAAUGUACAAACUGAUAUUUUUUGACCCUUCAGAGCAUAUUCCUGUAGCUGUGCUUAGAGGUGAGAGGAUCUGCCUCCCAGCUGAGGUGCUGUGCUGGUUUGUCACCUGGGAGAAUGGCAAGGGGCUGGUUCUGGCUGCUGUGGGUGCCUCCCAGGUAGUGUCUGCCCGCUCUGCUCCCAGGCAGGCCACGCAGCACCUCUCCUGCCUAGCCAGUUGGUCUGCAGGCACCUGGGCGUUACACGACUGGGCCAUUUCCCAGUUUGGGGACCCAGCCAGCAGCAAGGAGCAUCUCAGGGCUGGGAGGGACGGUAUGACGGUGAAACUUCACGGUGGCAGGGGGCUGUUGGAAAAGAAAUGCCGUGUGGUGAGGUAGGAUCCUUAACUGGCAGAUUUAUUCACUUGUGUCAAGGCCUUGUCACUUUAUUCUUACAGCAUCCAUAAAUUUAUUCUGAGAGUUGGUUAGCAAACUCAGCAGCUGGUUUGAGAUUGCCAACGCUAUCAAAUAUAGAUGUUUCAUGUAAUGCCAAUAAAGAGGACUAAAAAAGCCAACAACAAAAAACACUUCCCCUCAAAACUCCAAAUCUAAACAAUCACGUUUCUUGACAAUAAGAAACCGCAGUACUUGCAGCAGUGCCUGCAGUAUUCCACGUAUUCAGGGAGAAGCAGCUUAUGUCCACACAGCUCGUAGCACAGGGAGAGUUAGCAAAGGGAAACGAAUCGCUUUGACGUGUUGGGAUUCUGUGAGGUGCUUGUAUUGGCUUUUGGAAAUAACUUGUCAGAGUUUCUGUUCACAGCAGUAGGCGUUAGGCAGCAGAAGAAACCAGGGGAGAUGGAAACACACGUGAAAGGAGGAGGCCUGCUUGGUGCAGAUAUUCCUAAUGCACGUGUGCAUGGGAGUUAAUGUUCCUUGUGCUCUGGAUAAAUGGAUCAGGUGAAAAGACAUCAAGCUCAGAGGUAGGACGCUGUUUUUUUGGUUUUGCAUUGCUUUAUUUUGUUUAUUUUAGACUAUCCUAUUUACACCAGAGGGCUUGCUGUUAUCUCAAUAUUUAGCUGAAGGCUUUUAGGAGGCCUCUUGCUGAACACUGAAAGAUCUUGGAGCUCUUUAAAACAAGGUGUACCCAGACUGCCCACUGCGUAGCUUGUUAAAUCUCAGCAGGCAGCCUCUGCAGUCUGAUGAUUUUGCUUUAGAGCCUUUCUACCGUCACGGUUUUAGCUGCCCCAUUGCUCGUUCCAGCAACGUGAAACCCAUGUGUACCCACGUGAAACAGCGAUCUCGUGACGGGCUCUGUGACCACAUACGCGGAACUCUGCAGGUUCUCAUAUCAAGCUUACAGUUCCCCGUGGCCUCAGCUUUCACGCUUGUUAUUCACAUCAAUUUCUUUUUUGAAAUAGGAUUUACCAUCUUAAUCCGUGAUUUCAAUAAUUUUCUACAAAGCUGAGCUCCUAGUAAAAGCCUGACUCUGUGUCAAGUGUUUUCUUAAAAUACAUCAUCUUGAUGAGUUGAAAUAGUCUAGCUUUUCUUUUAUUUAAACAACACUUCUGAUUAAUUAAUCUCUAUGAAUAUGGUAAUUGCAGUCGUAAUGCCAGAGGUUCAUUUGCAUUGGGACUGAAGCUGAAAACUUUUCUGCAAGUGCACUUCGAUUGUCAACACAGCUAGUCUAGAACGUGCAGGUAACAUCCAGAGUACCUAGGGUACACCCCUGUGUGUAUCCAGCCCUCCUCUUGGUUACAGGGAAUAAAUUCAUUUAUGUCUUGAGUGAGCGGAUUCAGUAUUGCAGGGAUUUGGGAUAGGACAGCAAGAUUGUUCACGUAUCAAAAAAAAAACAACUGAAGCUGUGAGAAAUCUUCAUAACAUUAAUCUGCUCUCCUACUUUGCUUCUUAUUCUGGAUAAUUUUUCUUCAGUUUAAUUCAUGUUUUAAAUUCUUGGAUCUCUUGUGACCAGAGUUUCAGGCAACUGUCAUGCUGCUCAAGUACCAGUCACACUUCUCUGUACCAUUUGAAAACACGGCUCUUGCUCUUGCUCUUUCUCUUCUUUAGCAUUUGGCAUCUUUACGUAGUUGUUUUCCACAAAGCAUGCACAUUUGUCAUACUUAAAUUUACAUCUACUACUGCUUGGAACAAUCUCUGGAUUAACUUAGGCUCCGUGUUCUCGUAUCAAGCAUGCAUGGCGAAUGCCAGCUUUUAAAAGUAAUGCAUAUGGUGACGAUACAAUAAUUGCAAGGAGCAUUCUGGAGAACAGAGAAUGUCAGAAAAUAAGUAUAUGAAUAUGCCCAGAAAACUGGGGAAGAUAUGAAUCAGUGUUUGUACCCAUGAGGCUCAACUUUGAGCCUAGCCCUAGUCACGCAGAGAAGGGAGCACGUGGGAGAGACGUUUCUAUUUGUCUAAUUCUGUUGCUUUGUGGCCUAUCUGCCUGGCUGGACCAAGCGAGAGAGAGAGGGCUGGAACAGGAUGGUUGUGCUUGCUCAAGCAGCAGAACAGCCAGCUGCAGUUGCACAGCGCCGUGGCUUUGCUCUUCAAUACAGCAGUUGUCGUGGAUGUAAAAAUCCU